GUGGGGAAUAUUGGACAAUGGGCGAAAGCCUGAUCCAGCCAUGCCGCGUGUGUGAAGAAGGUCUUCGGAUUGUAAAGCACUUUAAGUUGGGAGGAAGGGCAGUAAGUUAAUACCUUGCUGUUUUGACGUUACCGACAGAAUAAGCACCGGCUAACUUCGUGCCAGCAGCCGCGGUAAUACGAAGGGUGCAAGCGUUAAUCGGAAUUACUGGGCGUAAAGCGCGCGUAGGUGGUUCGUUAAGUUGGAUGUGAAAGCCCCGGGCUCAACCUGGGAACUGCAUCCAAAACUGGCGAGCUAGAGUACGGUAGAGGGUGGUGGAAUUUCCUGUGUAGCGGUGAAAUGCGUAGAUAUAGGAAGGAACACCAGUGGCGAAGGCGACCACCUGGACUGAUACUGACACUGAGGUGCGAAAGCGUGGGGAGCAAACAGGAUUAGAAACCCCAGUAGUCC
rnacentral:rRNA from 1 species